rnacentral:rRNA from 1 species
GUUGGCGACCAUACCACGUUGAAAGCACUGGUUCUCAUCCGAUCACCGAAGUUAAGCAACGUUGUGCCCGGUUAGUACUUGCAUGGGUGGCACAGUGGUUAGGACUCUCGGCGACCAUGC